UACACUUUCCCGCGAAUUGUUUUUGUGGACAAUCUGUGUAUGAGAAGCAGCUUAGCAUUACAAGUAUCAAUUUUGUGCAGCUAGUUAUGGCAAAGCAAAUUUCCAUUGUUAAUUUCCUUACAAAGUCAUCGCCAGUCGUCGCGAAAGCAAAAUCUACUCUUUGCACUGCCGAAGCAGAUUUGUCUUCAAUUUCCAAAUCUAGUAGUUCACAGAUUGAGGAAGCUAAACAAACCGCCCAAAAGAAGAAGCCUGUGGAAAACCCAAACAAAACUCUGGCUAAAGUCGGUCAUGAUAAACCGUUUGGAUCAAGAGCUACGGAUACAAAUAAGAGCUCUUCAUUUACCUUCCAUGCGGGUGACCUGGUAUGGGCAAAACUUGAGGGACACCCAUGGUGGCCAUGCAUGAUCGUGCCCCAACCGUUGAGUGGGCAGCUGAUGAGGGGCAGAGGCCAAGCUCAGAGAGUGCAUGUUCAUUUUUUUGAUGAGCCAGCAACGAGGGGUUGGGUCAGAAAGAAGUACGUUCGAGAAUAUAAAGGUUCACACAGUGCUGAUGCCAAAACAGGUGGUUUGUUCUUCAGUGGUAAGCCUGUGAUUCGCAGGGCAAUGGAGUUGGCAGAUCGUGUGUUGCAGGACAGUCCUGAACAGAGAUUAAAGAUGCCCGUCUGUAUGGAUGCCUCUGAUGACGAAGUCGAGCAUGAAGAAAUGAUGGAGAUUGAAAAAUCAACACCAUCAGAUGAAGAAAUGUCAGAAGAAGCGGUUCAGAUGGUGAAUCCAUGCAGGCGUUCACCACGCGCUGCAUCAGAGCAUGCUCAGAAACCCAAACGCCGACGUAUUGUUGUGGCCUCUGACAGUGAGAGCUCUAGUGAUGGGUUCAAGCCAGAUCAGGUAGAAACGAGCAGUGAGGAUGAAGAUGAGGUCAUCAGUGAUGCAGAGGAAACCAUACCUGAAUCUGAAACGGACAGUACUGUGAAACCUGUGAAACGGAAACGUGCAUCAGAGAAAACUUCUGAAACAAAGAAUAAAGCUCUACCUUCAGGGAUCCACAAGCGCAAUCCUGUGAGUCUUGCAGCUGACACAAAAUCACGCCUGUCUGCUUUUUCUGCUCCAGGCAGCUUUGAGAGCCAGGACAGUGCUGCAGGAAACUUGGGUGGGACUGGCAUGUGGGACCAUGAAAAAUUGGAUUGGUUGCAGGAUGGCAAAAGAAAAGAUGCUCAGAGGCGGUGUCAGUCAGAUGAGAACUAUGACCCAACAACUUUAUAUGUGCCUGAAGACUUCCUUAACAGGGUUACACCUGGCAUGCGUCGAUGGUGGCAACUCAAAUCAGAGAUGUUUGAUACUGUUCUUUUCUAUAAAGUAGGCAAGUUUUAUGAGCUCUACCACAUGGAUGCUGUGAUUGGUGUCAGUGAGUUGGGGCUUAUUUUCAUGAAAGGCACCUGGGCACAUUCUGGUUUCCCUGAGAUAGGUUUUGGCCGUUUCUCUGAUGUGCUCGUACAAAAAGGUUACAAGGUGGCACGUGUGGAACAGACUGAGACCCCUGAAAUGAUGGAAGCACGAUGCAAGGCUAUGGUGCGUCCCACUAAAUUUGACCGUGUAGUUCGACGAGAGGUAUGUAGAGUAAUCACCCGGGGCACCCAGACACACAGUGUGCUUGAUGGUGUGCCUUCUGAGGCUGAGAGCAAGUACCUGCUGAGUGUGAAAGAAAAAAAUCAGGAGGAAAACGUUGGCAAAUGUCACACUUAUGGGGUCUGCUUCAUUGACAGCUCAGUGGGUCGCUUUUAUGUAGGUCAGUUCCAAGAUGACCGUCACUGUUCCCGUCUGCGUACCUUACUGGCACAUUAUGUGCCUGCCCAGGUGCUAUUCGAAAAGGGUAACUUGUCAGCUGAGACACAGAAGAUCUUCAAGGCUGCUCUGUCCUCAGCAAUGCAUGAGAGUCUCAAUGCUGGCUCACAAUUCUGGGAUCCCCAGAAAACCCUGAAAACCUUGGCAGAUGAAGACUACUUUAAAGAAAGUGAAGAAGAGUUUGGUACUUCUUCAGGAUCAGCUCUCCCCAGUGCUCUAAAAGCAAUGACUUCUGAAAGCGACUUGCUAGGUCUUACUCCAAAAGAAGGAUAUGAACUUGCUCUCUCUGCACUUGGGGGAUGCAUAUUCUAUCUCAAAAAAUGUCUGGUCGAUCAAGAGCUGCUUUCCAUGGCUAACUUUCAGGAAUAUGUUCCAGUGGAUGUGGAGAUACAGAAGUCAGAGAAUGCAUCAAAUUUAUUUGCCCAAACAUGCCAGCGCAUGGUGGUGGAUGGAGUGACACUGGCCAACCUUGAAAUUCUCCAGAAUGGUUCUACUGGAGGCACUGAAGGUACUCUGCUGGAACAGUUGGACACCUGUUGUACUCCCUUUGGCAAGAGGUUGCUGAGACAAUGGCUCUGUGGUCCCCUCUGUAACCCAGCCUCCAUCAAUGAUCGGCUGGAUGCUCUUGAAGACCUAAUGGCUGUUCCAGCACAAGCUGCUGAGGUUACAGAACUCCUGAAGAAACUUCCAGACCUUGAAAGGUUACUCAGCAAAAUCCAUAGUAUGGGUACUCCUCUGAAGGGACAGGACCACCCAGACAGCAGAGCAAUUCUUUAUGAGGAGAUUGCCUAUAGCAAGCGCAAGAUUGCGGACUUCCUUUCAGCACUGGAAGGAUUCGGAACCAUCCAGGAAGUAAUGUCAAUCAUGGAGUCAGUCUCAGUAGGAUUCCAGUCAAAAUUGCUGCGGCAAGUAGUGAUCCUAAAAACAAGAAAUGAUGAGGGGCUGUUUCCUAAUCUUAGACCAGAGCUUAACCGCUGGGACACAGCUUUCGACCAUCAAAAAGCACGUACAACUGGUGUGAUUACACCCAAGGCUGGCUUUGACUCUGAGUAUGAUCGAGCUCUGAGUGGGAUUAAGGACUGCGAAAGAAAUCUGCAAGACUACUUGGUUCGACAGAAGAAGAGACUUGGCUGCCAGAAUCUAUCUUACUGGGGCACAGGACGGAACCGCUAUCAAAUGGAGGUUCCAGACAGUGUGUCUGAGAGGAGCAUACCAGAAGAAUUUGAGGUGAAGUCCACAAAAAAGGGUUGGAAGAGAUACUCAACAAAGGAGAUUGAGCAUAUGUUCUCAGAGUUGCAGAGUUGGGAAGACAAAAGGGAUGCUGCACUGAAAGAUUGCAUGAGGAGACUGUUUUACAACUUUGAUAAAAACUACAGAGACUGGCAGACUGCUGUGGAGUGCACAUCAGUUCUUGAUGUGCUGUUGAGUUUGUCCCAAUACAGCCAGAGUGGGAAUGGAGUGAUGGUAAAACCAGAGAUUAUUCUGCCAGGUAAUGGCCCCCAUUCUUCCCCUUUCCUGGACCUCCGCGGAUCCCGGCACCCCUGUGUCACGAAAACCUAUUUUGGUGAUGACUUCAUCCCCAAUAACAUCUUUAUUGGUUGUCCUGGCAAUGAAGAAGAGGAGAGUGAGGACAAUAGGAAGGCACUGGCUCCCUGUGUACUUGUCACAGGGCCAAACAUGGGAGGCAAGUCCACCCUAAUGAGGCAGUGUGGCCUGAUUGUGAUUUUGGCACAGUUGGGUUGCUAUGUGCCAGCUGAAAGCCUGCGCCUAACCCCUGUGGACCGAGUGUUCACUCGCCUUGGUGCCUCCGAUCGUAUCAUGUCUGGAGAGAGUACCUUCUUUGUGGAACUUAAUGAAACAGCCAGUAUCCUCUUGCAUGGGACCACUCAUUCACUUGUUCUUCUUGAUGAACUGGGUAGGGGUACUGCCACCUAUGAUGGCACGGCCAUUGCAAGUGCAGUGGUGAAGGAACUGUCGACGAGGAUCUGCUGCCGAACUAUGUUUUCCACCCACUACCACUCACUGGUAGAAGACUAUGCUCAGAAUUGUGCUGUUAAACUUGGUCAUAUGGCCUGCAUGGUGGAGAAUGAGUGUGAUGAGGAUCCUAGCCAGGAAACCAUCACUUUCCUGUACAAAUUCAUCAGUGGUGCUUGUCCCAAGAGCUAUGGAUUUAAUGCUGCACGCCUUGCCGACAUUCCCGAAGAGGUGAUUCAGUCAGGACAUUGCAAAGCCCGCGAGUUUGAGAGGAGUACCAUGGCUCUGACUACCUUUAAAUGUAUUGCUCUAUACUGAAAGAGAAGAUGCUACCAUCAGCCCUUGGUUGUCGUGCACUUUUCCAACAUGACAAUGAUUUUAAACACACAUCUAAGGCCACUGUUGGAUUUCUGAAGAACAGGGUGAAAGUGAUUCAGUGGCCAAGUAUGUCUCCUUAUCUGAACCCAAUCAAACACCUAUGGGGAAUUCUGAAGAGACAAGUUGAGCAUCACUCACCAUCCAGCAUCCAGUCACUAAAAGAGGAAACUGUGUUCAUUUGCUGAAGAUCCUAUGGCUAACCAUGAACAGUUUGCCAGACUGGUUCAGAUGAUUUGCAACCUGUAAUAGAG